CCUACGGGUGGCAGCAGUAGGGAAUAUUGGGCAAUGGGCGCAAGCCUGACCCAGCAACGCCGCGUGAAGGAAGAAGGCUUUCGGGUUGUAAACUUCUUUUAAGCGGGAAGAGCAGAAGACGGUACCUCUUGAAUAAGCCACGGCUAACUACGUGCCAGCAGCCGCGGUAAUACGGGGGGUGCAAGCGUGGUCCGGAAUCAUUGGGCGUAAGGAGUUCGUAGGCGGCACGUAAAGUCUGGUGUUAAAGGCAGAGGCUCAACUUCUGUACGGCACUGGAUACUUGCGAGCUAGAAUGCGGUAGAGGUAAAGGGAAUGCCUGGUGUAGCGGUGAAAUGCUUAGAUAUCAGGAGGAACAUCGGUGGCGUAAGCGCUUUACUGGGCCGUAAUUGACGCUGAGGAACGAAAGCCAGGGUAGCAAAUGGGAUUAGAUACCCCUGUAGUC
rnacentral:rRNA from 1 species